GCUAGUGGGGGCAAAGUUUCAGUGCAUUCCGUUGAUGUAGACAGCGUGAAAACGGAAACAACAAGUAUGCCGGCUCACUGUGCUGCAUACAAUUACACACUGCGUCGUACGAUUGAGACAAGGAAACUUGGAAUGACUUUUCAUAGGUUUCCCAGAGACUAUGGGUUGAGGAGGAAGUGGAAGUUUGUCGGCUUAGACCUGGUGUCAUUCCAUCAGUGUUAAACUUCCCGGCUCAUCUUGGAAGAACCAAAGAACUACAGACUCUUCACAACCUGCUCAAACUCUUGGUACAGGACCUCACCACACGGGUCAAGAAGGUUUCUGUCUCAUUUCUACUCUGAAGAUCACCUUCUCCUGCUCAAACUGCUGACAAAUGUUUCUGCUGCUCUAAAGUCUGCUCUCCAGAACUUCCUAAAAACUCUCAAAGUCUCUUCUGCUGCAGGUUGCUUUGUAGAACUGUUGCAGAAACCUCUACUAAACCACAUGGAGGGGCCUCAAGAUAGUCGUCCAAAUGAAACCAUACAAAAACCAAACUAGCACAACCCAAACGCUAAAGUCUCCUGCAGCCUACCAGAGAACCUCUGAGAACAGAGAAUCAGGACAGGAACUCUUACCUUCUGGACAACCAACGCUGGUUCACAAACAAGAAUACAGAAUGUGUCUGACCAAAAACCUCUGAAGACUCACUACAGCCAAGAUAAAGACACAACUCAGCUG
ensembl:lncRNA